rnacentral:rRNA from 1 species
GAUGAACGCUGGCGGCGUGCUUAACACAUGCAAGUCGAACGAAGCAUUUGCGACAGAUUUUUUCGGAAUGAAGUUGCUUAUGACUGAGUGGCGGACGGGUGAGUAACGCGUGGGUAACCUGCCUUGUACUGGGGGAUAGCAGCUGGAAACGGCUGGUAAUACCGCAUAAGCGCACAAUGUUGCAUGACAUGGUGUGAAAAACUCCGGUGGUAUAAGAUGGACCCGCGUCUGAUUAGCUAGUUGGUGAGAUAACAGCCCACCAAGGCGACGAUCAGUAGCCGACCUGAGAGGGUGACCGGCCACAUUGGGACUGAGACACGGCCCAGACUCCUACGGGAGGCAGCAGUGGGGAAUAUUGCACAAUGGAGGAAACUCUGAUGCAGCGACGCCGCGUGAGUGAAGAAGUAAUUCGUGAUGUAAAGCUCUAUCAGCAGGGAAGAUAGUGACGGUACCUGACUAAGAAGCUCCGGCUAAAUACGUG